rnacentral:rRNA from 1 species
UACGUAGGGUGCGAGCGUUGUCCGGAUUUAUUGGGCGUAAAGGGCUCGUAGGCGGCGUGUCGCGUCGGGGAGUGAAAGCCCGCUGCUUAACGGCGGGUUGGCUUCCGGUACGGGCAUGCUGGAGUGUGGCAGGGGAGACUGGAAUUCCUGGUGUAGCGGUGGAAUGCGCAGAUAUCAGGAGGAACACCGGUGGCGAAGGCGGGUCUCUGGGCCGAUACUGACGCUGAGGCACGAAAGCGUGGGGAGCAAACAGG